UCAUCGGCCUCAGAUUGGUAGGACUACCCGCUGAACUUAAGCAUAUCAAUAAGCGGAGGAAAAGAAACUAACAAGGAUUCCCCUAGUAACGGCGAGUGAAGAGGGAAGAGCCCAAGAUUGAAAGCUGGCACCUUCGGUGUCCGCAUUGUAAUCUCAAGAAGUGUUUUCCGCUUCGGACCAUGCCUAAGUCUCCUGGAAAGGAGCAUCAUAGAGGGUGAUAAUCCCGUACAUGGCAUGGAGCGCCCGAAGCUUUGUGAUACGCUUUCUAAGAGUCGAGUUGUUUGGGAAUGCAGCUCAAAAUGGGUGGUAAAUGCCAUCUAAGGCUAAAUAUUGGGGAGAGACCGAUAGCGAACAAGUACAGUGAUGGAAAGAUGAAAAGAACUUUGAAAAGAGAGUUAAACAGUACGUGAAAUUGCCAAAAGGGAAGGGUAGGAGGUCAGAGAUGCCGUCUGGGAUUCAGCCUUGCUUUUGCUUGGUGUUUUUCCCAGUUGGCAGGCCAACGUCGGUUUUGGGCACUGGAGAAGGGUGGGAGGAAUGUGGCACCCCUCGGGGUGUGUUAUAGCCUCCUACUGGAUACAGCGACCGAGACCGAGGACAGCAGCGUACUCGCAAGAGCGGGCCUUCGGGCACCUUUACGCUUAGGGC
rnacentral:rRNA from 1 species